UACGAAGGGUGCAAACGUUGCUCGGAAUUAUUGGGCGUAAAGAGCUCGUAGGCGGCUUGUCACGUCGGGUGUGAAAGACCGGGGCUUAACUCCGGUUCUGCAUUCGAUACGGGCUAGCUAGAGUGUGGUAGGGGAGAUCGGAAUUCCUGGUGUAGCGGUGAAAUGCGCAGAUAUCAGGAGGAACACCGGUGGCGAAGGCGGAUCUCUGGGCCAUUACUGACGCUGAGGAGCGAAAGCCAGGGGAGCAAACGGG
rnacentral:rRNA from 1 species